CCUACGGGUGGCAGCAGUGGGGAAUAUUGCACAAUGGGGGAAACCCUGAUGCAGCGACGCCGCGUGAGUGAGGAAGUAUUUCGGUAUGUAAAGCUCUAUCAGCAGGGAUGAAAAUGACGGUACCUGACUAAGAAGCCCCGGCUAACUACGUGCCAGCAGCCGCGGUCAAACGUAGGGUGCACGCGUUAUCUGGAUUUACUGGGUGUAAGGGGAGCGUAGACGGGUAAUCAAGUCAUAAGUGAAAACCCAGGGCUAAACCGUGGGACUGCUUUUGAAACUGAGUAGCUAGAGUGCAGGAGAGGUAAGCGGAAUUCGUGGUGUAGCGGUGAAAUGCGUAGAUAUUAGGAGGAACACCAGUGGCGAAGGCGGCUUACUGGACUGUAACUGACGUUGAGGCUCGAAAGCGUGGGGAGCAAACAGGAUUAGAUACCCGGGUAGUC
rnacentral:rRNA from 1 species